rnacentral:rRNA from 1 species
UACAGAGGGGGCAAGCGUUAUUCGGAAUUAUUGGGCGUAAAGGGCGCGUAGGCGGCUUGGCAAGUGGAAGGUGAAAUCCCUCGGCUUAACCGAGGAACUGCCCUCCAAACUGCUUCGCUUGAGACCGGGAGAGGUGAGUGGAAUUCCCAGUGUAGCGGUGAAAUGCGUAGAUAUUGGGAGGAACACCAGUGGCGAAGGCGGCUCACUGGACCGGUACUGACGCUGAGCCGCGAAAGCCAGGGGAGCGAACGGG